UUCUCUCCCUGGUCCACAUGUGCUGACAGGAUUGGCACAGAGAGAGCCCAACCCCCCUCCAUCACCCGAUUCCUCUCCCUCUCCCUCUUCCCUCGCCUGCCGCCGCCACAACUCAUCAGCACCAUCUUCCACAGCCAUCGUCACCACCGGCGCCCUUCCCCGGCAGGAAGAGGGGGAUAGAUGCAGCAGCCAGCCACGACUCACCACCGGCGCCCUCUCCCGGCAGGAAGAGGUUGGCCACGACUCAUCACCAACGCCCUCCCCCGGCAGGAAGAGGAGUGCAGAGGCAGCAGCCAGCCGCGACUCGUCUGUGUCGCGUUUUGGCCCAGAUGCGGCCGCCCCGUGCUCUGCCGGCGCCCGUCGGCCUCGAUCCGACCUCGGCAGUAGGAGCUCAAGCCGAUGAGCGCGGCCUCGAUCCGGGCUCGGCAGGAGGACACGCGACAUCUCAUUCCCAUCACUUUUGGUUGCGCCUCCCGCGAGUUCCUCUUUCUAAUCCCCUUCCUCUCUAAUUUAAUUCUUGUUUUAAGUGUUUCCUGCUGCCUAUGGUUGCUGUAGGUAUUUUCGUCUUCCCCACUUCUACUCUUAUACUCCAAUUUGACUCAGUCCUAAUUUCUACAUCUUUCACAAGUAAUCUUUUUUAUUUCCUGAAUUCUGUAUGUGCUCAUUGGACUGCAACAGCCAGGGAUGCCAGAGAUGGAGACUUUCAUGACAUCUUGUCACUUCCAAAUAAAUAGAGAGGAAAGGCAGAUGAGAACAUUGGUUCGAAAAUUCAAAGUAUCAAAGAAUUGGUCUGGCCUUUGGUCAUGGUAAGUGAACUCAGCUUUAUAAGGUCAGCUGAAUGAUAUCAUUGUUGUUUUAAAGUUGAUUGCAUCGAAUAUGAUUGAAAGGCUGAAAUGUUGUUGCUGUUUUUUUCCCCUUCUGUGAAGAAAUUAAUUAAGUUGUUGUUUGGCCUGUGAUAUCUUGUGGUUGUUGGCGGGCUCCCAUCUAGCACCAUCUGCUGGUCUACAAAGAGUCAGGAGGCGCAUGUGAAUGUUUAAUCAACCCCAUGAGCAGAGCAGGUGUUAAUUAACUAAUCAUGGGUUGAUUAAAGUAAUUCAAAUAUACUCUUUUGCAGGCUGAGUUCACUUUGAUGGGUGGUACUUUCAUGUCAUUACUGGCUGCUUAUUGUGAUUAUUUUACCAGAAAUCUGCAAUAUGCUUUAUCGGGGCAUACUUCUGCUAAUGUUGCAGAUUUGUUAUUCAGAACAUAGUGCUGUCAAACAUAUCACUAUGACAAUUGGGACGGAAGGUUCAUUCAACAUCUGUCCAUGAUUCUUGGAUGCAUUUGAAAAUUCCUUGUGAUUUUCCCCCUGAAACAUCUAAUUGGUCUUUUUAUUCUAGGAGACCUGAUUAUUGCUUAGGGCUUCAUCUUUGGCAAAUGCUAUCUUAUGGAUGUACCCGCUUUCACAUUUGUGUUCAGACUACAAACAAAGGCCACACAGUAGUUGUUGUUGCUGAUUGUUUUUCUUCUUCUGCAAAAGAUGUUGUUUAAGAUUUAAUAAUGUCGGAGUUGAGAGAGAUAUGAGAACAACUAUCAGGUCAAAGUAAGCACCACUUGCCAUGCAAGCGAUGUACGGCGGUGGCGAGCGCCACUGAGUGUGCACGGUGCAAAAGAAGGGGGAGCGGCUGUCGGAUUUUGUUGAAGCGAAAAAUUGGUUUUUGAUGCAUUCAAAAAUCAAUAAUCAUCAGCGGCAAUGAAAUUUACAAGACCGACCAGUGGAUGAUGACUAUCUCCAUACUUGAUCUUUCUAUUUGACAGUGCAUAACAUAUUAUGGCGUCAGAAGAACAGUCUUCUGUGACGCUCGCAAGAGGGAUGUGGUCUACAUUGAGCAGUACUACGAUGGCGCUGACGAACAGCUGCUCAAGCAGGCGAUGAUGAAGAAACCUCAUAUCAAACAGAGUCCAAACGGGAUAAAAACGGACGAAAAUUAUUUUGGAAUAUUUAGGAAUUUUUGGAGGAAGAAUCAACGCGAAACGGUGUCCGAGGUGGCCAUGAGACAGGGGGGCGUGCUCCCUCCCCCUGGGCAUGCCUGGCACCCUCGUGGGCCACCCGUAAGGCGGUUGAUGCCCUUCUUUUGUCGCAAGAAAGCUAAUUUUGUGAGAAAAAUUUGGAUGAAAAAUUCACCUCAAUCGGAGUUACGGAUCUCCGGAUAUAAAAGAAACGGUGAAGGGGAAGGAUCUGGGAACGCAGAAACAGAGAAAGACAGAGAGAUAGAUCCAAUCUCGGAGGGGCUCUCGCCCCUCGCACGCCAUGG